rnacentral:rRNA from 1 species
CCUACGGGAGUCUGCAGUGGGGAAUAUUGGACAAUGGGCGAAAGCCUGAUCCAGCCAUGCCGCGUGUGUGAAGAAGGCCUUCGGGUUGUAAAGCACUUUCAGUGGGGAAGAAAGCCUUGGGGCUAAUACCCUCGAGGAAGGACAUCACCCACAGAAGAAGCACCGGCUAACUCCGUGCCAGCAGCCGCGGUAAUACGGAGGGUGCGAGCGUUAAUCGGAAUUACUGGGCGUAAAGCGCGCGUAGGCGGUCUGAUAAGCCGGUUGUGAAAGCCCCGGGCUCAACCUGGGAACGGCAUCCGGAACUGUCAGGCUAGAGUGCAGGAGAGGAAGGUAGAAUUCCCGGUGUAGCGGUGAAAUGCGUAGAGAUCGGGAGGAAUACCAGUGGCGAAGGCGGCCUUCUGGACUGACACUGACGCUGAGGUGCGAAAGCGUGGGUAGCAAACAGGAUUAGAUACCCCAGUAGUC